GGGGAUGUACUGGCUUCGACAGGGAUGUCUAAGCAUGAUAAGCGAGUCGUAGUUGCCAAGUCUACGUAAAAAGUGGCGCGUAAAUUCAAACGCUAAAAAUGAAAACAACUUCGCAAUGGCUGCCUAGUGCAGUGGUGCUCCUUAGGAGCGUCGCGACGUCUCUCCACCUUACCUGUAGGGUGGAAUAGAGGCGACGAAAUACAGGGAACCUUCUGUGAGAGUUCUCGGUAUCACAGAUGUAUUACGAGAUAUGAUUGUGGCUGACGUGCUUGUGAAGCAGUCAUGAUAUGAAUAAAUUAGCAUAAGCUACACUCGAAGAAAGUCAUGUGGAUAUGUCUUUGGACGUGGGUUCGACUCCCACCAUCUCCACCA
rnacentral:tmRNA from 1 species